GUGUGAGGCCAAACCUCAUGUCAAAGACUGAUCCCGUCAGAUUUCAGACGUUGAGCAGAGACGGGCCUGGUCAGGACUUGGAUGGGAGACCAGUGGGAACGCAGGUACCACAGGGG
rnacentral:rRNA from 1 species